rnacentral:rRNA from 1 species
AGAGUUUGAUCCUGGCUCAGGACGAACGCUGGCGGCGUGCCUAACACAUGCAAGUCGAACGGAGAAUUUUAUUUCGGUAGAAUUCUUAGUGGCGAACGGGUGAGUAACGCGUAGGCAACCUGCCCUUUAGACGGGGACAACAUUCCGAAAGGAGUGCUAAUACCGGAUGUGAUCAUCGUGCCGCAUGGCAGGAUGAAGAAAGAUGGCCUCUACAAGUAAGCUAUCGCUAAAGGAUGGGCCUGCGUCUGAUUAGCUAGUUGGUAGUGUAACGGACUACCAAGGCGAUGAUCAGUAGCCGGUCUGAGAGGAUGAACGGCCACAUUGGGACUGAGACACGGCCCAAACUCCUACGGGAGGCAGCAGUGGGGAAUCUUCCGCAAUGGACGAAAGUCUGACGGAGCAACGCCGCGUGAGUGAUGAAGGAUUUCGGUCUGUAAAACUCUGUUGUUUAUGACGAACGUGCAGUGUGUGAACAAUGCAUUGCAAUGACGGUAGUAAACGAGGAAGCCACGGCUAACUACGUGCCAGCAGCCGCGGUAAUACGUAGGUGGCGAGCGUUGUCCGGAAUUAUUGGGCGUAAAGAGCAUGUAGGCGGCUUAAUAAGUCGAGCGUGAAAAUGCGGGGCUCAACCCCGUAUGGCGCUGGAAACUGUUAGGCUUGAGUGCAGGAGAGGAAAGGGGAAUUCCCAGUGUAGCGGUGAAAUGCGUAGAUAUUGGGAGGAACACCAGUGGCGAAGGCGCCUUUCUGGACUGUGUCUGACGCUGAGAUGCGAAAGCCAGGGUAGCGAACGGGAUUAGAUACCCCGGUAGUCCUGGCCGUAAACGAUGGGUACUAGGUGUAGGAGGUAUCGACCCCUUCUGUGCCGGAGUUAACGCAAUAAGUACCCCGCCUGGGGAGUACGGCCGCAAGGUUGAAACUCAAAGGAAUUGACGGGGGCCCGCACAAGCAGUGGAGUAUGUGGUUUAAUUCGACGCAACGCGAAGAACCUUACCAAGUCUUGACAUCCUGCGACGGUGCUGGAAACAGUACUUUCCUUCGGGACGCAGAGACAGGUGGUGCAUGGUUGUCGUCAGCUCGUGUCGUGAGAUGUUGGGUUAAGU